rnacentral:rRNA from 1 species
AUUGAACGCUGGCGGCAUGCUUUACACAUGCAAGUCGAACGGUAACAGGCCUUCGGGUGCUGACGAGUGGCGAACGGGUGAGUAAUGCAUCGGAACGUACCCAGAGGUGGGGGAUAACGCAGCGAAAGCUGUGCUAAUACCGCAUGUGAUCUGAGGAUGAAAGCGGGGGACCGAGCAGCAAUGUUUGGCCUCGCGCCUUUGGAGCGGCCGAUGUCGGAUUAGCUAGUUGGUGGGGUAAAGGCCUACCAAGGCGACGAUCCGUAGCUGGUCUGAGAGGACGACCAGCCACACUGGGACUGAGACACGGCCCAGACUCCUACGGGAGGCAGCAGUGGGGAAUUUUGGACAAUGGGCGCAAGCCUGAUCCAGCAAUGCCGCGUGCGGGAAGAAGGCCUUCGGGUUGUAAACCGUUUUUGGCAGGAACGAAACGGUGUCCGCUAAUACCGGGCGCUAAUGACGGUACCUGCAGAAUAAGCACCGGCUAACUACGUG